GUGGGGAAUCUUGCGCAAUGGGCGAAAGUCUGACGCAGCCAUGCCGCGUGAAUGAUGAAGGUCUUAGGAUUGUAAAAUUCUUUCACCGGGGACGAUAAUGACGGUACCCGGAGAAGAAGCUCCGGCUAACUUCGUGCCAGCAGCCGCGGUAAUACGAAGGGGGCUAGCGUUGCUCGGAAUUACUGGGCGUAAAGGGCGCGUAGGCGGACAGCUUAGUCAGAGGUGAAAGCCCAGGGCUCAACCUUGGAAUUGCCUUUGAUACUGGCUGUCUUGAGUUUGGGAGAGGUGAGUGGAACUCCGAGUGUAGAGGUGAAAUUCGUAGAUAUUCGGAAGAACACCAGUGGCGAAGGCGACUCACUGGCCCAAUACUGACGCUGAGGCGCGAAAGCGUGGGGAGCAAACAGGAUUAGAUACCCCGGUAGUCC
rnacentral:rRNA from 1 species